UACGGAGGAUGCGAGCGUUAUCCGGAUUUAUUGGGUUUAAAGGGUGCGUAGGCGGAUUUUUAAGUCAGCGGUAAAAUGUCCGGGCUCAACCCGGGCCGGCCGUUGAAACUGGGGAUCUUGAGUGGGCGAGAAGUAUGCAGAAUGCGUGGUGUAGCGGUGAAAUGCAUAGAUAUCACGCAGAACUCCGAUUGCGAAGGCAGCAUACCGGCGCCCGACUGACGCUGAGGCACGAAAGCGUGGGGAUCGAACAGG
rnacentral:rRNA from 1 species